rnacentral:tRNA from 1 species
AAAUAUUGCGCCGGAAGAACGGGCUACAUUGAUGUCGUAGAAAAUAAGAGUUAAAAUCUCUUCAAUAUUU